UCGGCCUUUGCUAAGAAUAGCACGAUGUCAAAGCUCGCCAAGGCCUAAUGCACCAUAUGAGAAGAGGUCGCCUCACAUCCAGAAUCCUUUGAAGAGUACUAACAACACAAACGCCAACAGGAAAGAACUUCAGGAUGACUUUCCAUAAUGACAAAGCUCAUUCCUGCUCGCAUCUCCAUCCCAUGGUGUUUGGGGACUUUCUCCGAGUUAAAUGAAUUGCAGCUUGAAUCUACACAAUACGAAUAGCACUGACUAUAAUCAUCAGUAAUGAAAAAAACCAAGAUACGUAGCAUAAGAAUUUACCCCAUCAAAGAUAAGGUACAAAUGCAUAAACAUCAUUUCCACCAGUUGGACCACAAUGAACAGACGCUUCAUUAGCUGGCUGAUGAUAUAGAAAAGAACAGACUUGGAGAAGUAAGCAAUUAGCAAUACUUCCCUUGUUUGUGUUUAGGAACAGAAUUGAUGCUAACGGAAUGAUGUUGAAAAGGUGUGAGUGCCUAAACUACAGAACAGAGAGAUGUAUUUGUUACUUGGGUAUUUCACAAUAUCCUAUUAGCAAAAUCAGCAAUAGCGGAUAGUUUGCAAGGAGGUCAAUUUCAACUUUACAAAUCCAAUGCCACAUACACAUGAGAGGUGAGCCUAUCAAAUCAGAAACCUACAUGAGAAUAUUUACGAGAUAUUAUCACACUAAUAAACUGAUAGAAAUGAAGGAGAUUGUCAUCAUGCAUACUUGCAUACUAAUUUCAAGUGAAAUUACAUAGCUCAUAUAGUCUAAGCACACAAGUAAGUCUUUCAUGGUACAACUAGCACUGCAUACCUCUCCCUUCAAAGCCUUAUCGAGUUAGAGAGUGAUAUAUUUAGAAUGCAACUUUAUCAAACAACUCUGCAACAUGGUAACAUACAAAAAGUCAGUAGCUACGUGUUUGAUUAACAGAGAGAUAGAACCUAAUGAGCAUAGAGAAAGCAUAGUUAAUUGAAAAAAAUACAUUUACAAUCGUUCAGGUACG
rnacentral:lncRNA from 1 species